rnacentral:rRNA from 1 species
CCACUUGGGGAUAACCUUGCGAAAGUAAGACUAAUACCCAAUGACAUCCCACGAAGGCAUCCGAAUGGGAUUAAAGAUUUAUCGGUGAUGGAUGGGGAUGCGUCUGAUUAGCUUGUUGGCGGGGUAACGGCCCACCAAGGCAACGAUCAGUAGGGGUUCUGAGAGGAAGGUCCCCCACAUUGGAACUGAGACACGGUCCAAACUCCUACGGGAGGCAGCAGUGAGGAAUAUUGGUCAAUGGGCGAGAGCCUGAACCAGCCAAGUAGCGUGCAGGAUGACGGCCCUAUGGGUUGUAAACUGCUUUUAUAAGGGAAUAAAGUGAGUCUCGUGAGACUUUUUGCAUGUACCUUAUGAAUAAGGACCGGCUAAUUCCGUGCCAGCAGCCGCGGUAAUACGGAAGGUCCGGGCGUUAUCCGGAUUUAUUGGGUUUAAAGGGAGCGUAGGCCGGAGAUUAAGCGUGUUGUGAAAUGUAGAGGCUCAACCUCUGCACUGCAGCGCGAACUGGUCUUCUUGAGUACGCACAACGUGGGCGGAAUUCGUGGUGUAGCGGUGAAAUGCUUAGAUAUCACGAAGAACUCCGAUUGCGAAGGCAGCUCACGGGAGCGCAACUGACGCUGAAGCUCGAAAGUGCGGGUAUCGAACAGGAUUAGAUACCCUGGUAGUCCGCACGGUAAACGAUGGAUGCCUG